rnacentral:rRNA from 1 species
ACAUGCAGAGAACUUUCAGAGAUGGAUUGGUGCCUUCGGGAACUCUGACACAGGUGCUGCAUGGCUGUCGUCAGCUCGUGUCGUGAGAUGUUGGGUUAAGUCCGUAACGAGCGCAACCCUUGUCCUUAGUUACCAGCACGUUAUGGUGGGCACUCUAAGGAGACUGCCGGUGACAAACCGGAGGAAGGUGGGGAGUGACGUCAAGUCAUCAUGGCCUUACGGCCUGGGCUACACACGUGCUACAAUGGUCGGUACAAAGGGUUGCCAAGCCGCGAGGUGGAGCUAAUCCCAUAAAACCGAUCGUAGUCCGGAUCGCAGUCUGCAACUCGACUGCGUGAAGUCGGAAUCGCUAGUAAUCGUGAAUCAGAAUGUCACGGUGAAUACGUUCCCGGGCCUU